rnacentral:rRNA from 1 species
GAUGAACGCUGGCGGCGUGCCUAAUACAUGCAAGUCUAGCGAACAGACGAGGAGCUUGCUCCUCUGACGUUAGCGGCGGACGGGUGAGUAACACGUGGAUAACCUACCUAUAAGACCGGGAUAACUUCGGGAAACCGGAGCUAAUACCGGAUAAUAUAUUGAACCGCAUGGUUCAAUAGUGAAAGACGGUUUUGCUGUCACUUAUAGAUGGAUCCGCGCCGCAUUAGCUAGUUGGUAAGGUAACGGCUUACCAAGGCAACGAUGCGUAGCCGACCUGAGAGGGUGAUCGGCCACACUGGAACUGAGACACGGUCCAGACUCCUACGGGAGGCAGCAGUAGGGAAUCUUCCGCAAUGGGCGAAAGCCUGACGGAGCAACGCCGCGUGAGUGAUGAAGGUCUUCGGAUCGUAAAACUCUGUUAUUAGGGAAGAACAAAUGUGUAAGUAACUAUGCACGUCUUGACGGUACCUAAUCAGAAAGCCACGGCUAACUACGUG